rnacentral:lncRNA from 1 species
AUAAAACUUAACUUUAAAAAAUUAAUCCACAUUGUAACAUUAAUCUGCAUCUAUGCAACAUUCUUUAGAUUGGUAGCUUUACACAAAUCAAUCUAAAUCUAUAAGUUUGUUUCUCCAAGGGAUGGAAGACAUAACAAUCAGUAAAUAGAUCUAUAACUAAUGACAAUGAAGUGAUAUAUGGAUAACUAUGAUUUUUUUACUUUUCAGCAAAUUAUUAUCUUCGCAUACUACCACCAAGAUUUCCCUGUGAAGAAUUACUCCUUUCUCUUGGUCAGCAGUUCUUUCCAGCAUGGCUUACAGAAGUCCUUCUCCACCUCAGUGUGCUUAAUAAUCUACUGGGAAUCUAAAGGUCAGAAAUCCAAAGAAUACAUUCCUUAGAAUUCUCUGUAGCUUGUGGUUCAGCUUUCACUAAGCAAAUAUAUAGCAGGAUAUUUGGAAGGAAUUUAUGGGGUAGAAAUAUUUCCAAACUCAGCUGCUCCCCUGGAAGGAAGCUUCAUUGUGGCAUGGGACAUUCUUUUACUGGUGAGGAUUGAAGCUAUAGUAGUGUGGUCCUACAUACAAUAGUUUUAGGGGUGGCUUUAUGGUCCCCAGAAAACAGCAGGAACAAUGUUGUUGUAAGAUAGCAGUUAAAGUAGCAAGUUCCUGAUUAAUCAGAUUCCUAAUUAUGUUUCAUAGAGCAACUCCCUUAAAAAGGCAACUUGUAGUAUUUAUUUUCAGGAUCAUCCCCCAGUCCUAAAAUCUAACCUGGUAAAUCUGUAAUUCUUCACCUUCUUUUUCAAUAUAAAUUAUCCAAAAUAUUGUUUAAUGUUGGGUUUAGAAAAACAAUUAAAUAGCGUCUUAAGGCAUAAAGCCAAAGGAGGGAAUCUAACCCGGUGAAUCUAUAAUUCUUUACGUUCGAUCGUUUUCAAUAUAAAUGAUCCAAAAUAUUGUUUAAUGCCAGGUUAAAAAGAACCAAUUAAAUGCCAUCUUAAGGCAUAAAGCAAAAGGAUGAAAUAUAUGAAGAAAUGGAAGGAAAAAAGGAAAAACUCUAAUAGCAAUGGAGUGGCAUAAGCCCUUCAGGGGAUGUGGGUAGUUUCCUCAUUCGGGCUUCCUACUGUUUGAAGGAGUGUGGCCAGGCUACACCACAUGCAGUGGUAUGGUCUGAUGACAGGAGUGAUUAUGUGAUGAUAUGUAGGAGACCUAGUUUGAUAGUUCCAAAUGUCUAUGAGGGCCAGGAAG